GACGAACGCUGGCGGCGUGCUUAACACAUGCAAGUCGAACGGUGAAGGGAUCAGCUUGCUGGUUCUGGAUGAGUGGCGAACGGGUGAGUAACACGUGAGUAACCUGCCCCCUUCUUCUGGAUAACCGCAUGAAAGUGUGGCUAAUACGGGAUAUUCUGGGUCUGUCGCAUGAUGGGUCUGGGAAAGAUAUUGUUUCGGUGGGGGAUGGGCUCGCGGCCUAUCAGCUUGUUGGUGGGGUGAUGGCCUACCAAGGCGGUGACGGGUAGCCGGCCUGAGAGGGGGGACGGUCACACUGGGACUGAGACACGGCCCAGACUCCUACGGGAGGCAGCAGUGGGGAAUACUGCACAAUGGGCGCAAGCCUGAUGCAGCGACGCCGCGUGAGGGAUGGAGGCCUUCGGGGUGUAAACCUCUUUCGCCAGUGGAGCAGGCCUGCUCCUUGUGGGUGGGUUGACGGUAGCUGGAUAAGAAGCGCCGGCUAACUACGUG
rnacentral:rRNA from 1 species